CCGAUUUGUUGUUUUUUCCCCCGCACCUCCGAUUAGGACGGUUGGCUACGUACGGUGUGAAGGAAGUCCAACAUACGUACGAACGUGGAACCGUGCCUCUUGCAGUCUGGAAAUACCAAGACCCACAACGGCCUGAAGAGAUGAAGAAUCCAUUCGGAACUCCCACAAAGCAGUGCAUCACCCACUCUUUGAGAAAAGGCCCGUGGAAGCAGAUGUCCAAGAACUACUUCUGAAUUCCCUUUCAGGCUGAUCUGUAAAGCGGUGAAUGUGCAACCCCGCAGUUGCUUGCAACACGCCGCUGCUGUCGGAAGGGUGAAGUGGUCUCCUCCACUCGAGGGAACUCCGCAGAGCCUCAGAUCAACAAGACUCCCAAUCCCCGCAUGCUUUGGGAAAACAUCUCGAAGGAGCGUGGCGGUACCCACACUUUACCCCCCCCCACCACCACCAAAGGGACCGUUCAUAAAUGACGUCACGCGA